UGAGAUAGUCACUUGUGUUAGAAAGCUGAUCUAUGCCUGGUGAUCUACUUUUUAUGUAUGGUUUUUAUGCUAAUUUUAUAAGAAAUUUAUUCCAUUCAAAUAUAAAAUAAAAAACUAAUAUUGAACAAAUAUCAAUUCAUUGAUAAUAGAAUGUUGUGCAUUAAAGUCAUAGUGAAUUGUAAUUACACAAUUUUCACUAAACUUUAUGUAAUCCUAGAGACUCAAUAUGAGAUAAGA
rnacentral:lncRNA from 1 species